CCGCCAUUCAUACUCGAGUCGAUUUCGUGCCGUGUGUCGAUGUUUCUGUGUGUGUUGAACCGAGAGGCAUGGUGACGGUGAUAUUUGUGCGAGCGACGAAAAACAUGAAACAAGUUGAUUAGUGGCCGUAGCAGCCAAAACACACCGAGCACCAGAAACACAAUACGCGCGCGAAACGAGUGACGAUGAUAUUGAUAUUUCGUCGCAAAUUCUCCACAUAGGAAGCAUACGAAAUAUCGCUAAAAUCGACCAAUGGAAGAUGCUGACCAAAUAAGAUUAAAACGACUGGCGAACGAAUAAUUGAGCUGAUAGUGCCGACUGGACGGGUAUAGAGUAUGGGGGCGUUUUUGGAUACACCUAAGACAGAAAAGUACAAUGAACACGGCGAGGGUAAUGGUCUCAAGUAUGGAGUCGCCAGCAUGCAGGGCUGGCGUCUCGAGAUGGAGGACGCACACCGAGCCAUCACCGGCCUCGAGGGCGGUCUCACAGACUGGAGUUAUUUCGCCGUGUUUGACGGCCACGCCGGGGCGCUUGUCUCGGCGCACAGUGCCGAACACCUCUUAGAAUGUAUAAUGCAAACCGAGGAGUUUAAAGCUGAAGAUGUGAUAAAAGGAAUUCACUCUGGCUUCCUGCGACUCGACGACGAGAUGCGCGACCUGCCGCAGAUGAGCUCGGGUUCCGACAAGUCGGGCUCGACCGCCGUCUGUGCUUUUAUUUCGCCCCGCAAUAUCUACAUAGCGAAUUGUGGCGAUUCCCGAAUGGUCCUCUGUCGGUCCGGGAAUCCGAUAUUUUCGACACGGGACCACAAGCCGGGUCUUCCCGCCGAGAAGGAACGGAUCCAGAAGGCUGGAGGAAGUGUCAUGAUUCAGAGAGUGAAUGGAUCGCUGGCAGUUUCCCGCGCCCUCGGCGAUUAUGAGUACAAAAAUGUGGAGGGACGCGGUCCCUGCGAGCAAUUGGUCUCGCCGGAGCCCGAAAUUUUUGUCCUUGACAGGGACGAAGAAAAUGAUCAGUUUAUUGUUUUGGCCUGUGACGGCAUUUGGGACGUCAUGACCAAUGAGGACCUCUGCGACUUUAUACACUCGCGGCUUCUGCUCACCGACGACUUGGAGGCGGUCACCAAUCAAGUCAUAGAUACUUGCUUGUACAAGGGUAGCCGAGACAAUAUGAGCAUAGUGUUGGUAACUUUCCCCGGAGCGCCAAAACCGUGUCCCGAGGCUCAGAAGAAAGAGGCUGAACUCGAAAUGGCCAUCGAAAGGAGGAUCAAAGCAAUUGUCGCGCAGCAGGAAGGCAAAGAGGGCUUCGACUUUCUUCAACUGCUCCAGUAUCUUAUGGACGAGGACCUGCCCAAUCUGCCACCUGGUGGAGGACUCGCUGCGAAGCAACCAUUUAUCGAACAUAUAUUUCGAGAAGUUUGUCCUAGCAGAGCAGACAGCUUCUAGAAGACUUGCGCUCAGAUUAUUCACACGGCAGACUGGUCAUUUUUUCCUGCCCUCCGCAACAAGGAUUGUCAACAUUGGUGUCGAGCACGGUCGGAAAAACUGGCCAUUUAGCUAAAUGCCAGAACUGUACAUAUACAACAUCUAUGUACUUUGAAUGUCUACCCCGGAGUUUUUACCAUCAUGUCUAUCAACACUGAACCAAGAGAUUUACUUGCACCCAUGGCUAAUAAAUUAUUUACUUGGAGAAGAGAGUUCGAAAAAAUAAUUUAUUCGGUCUACCCUCGAAGAUCGGUACCUGGAACGAAAGUUUUUCUUUUCGAAUAAAAACUCGAUCGACCAUAGAAUUUAAUAAAGAAAAAGAAAGAAAGAAAAAAAACAAACAAAGAAACAAAAUUAAUGAACUAGACGACAAAAUUUAGAUAGAGGUACCACAGGUAAAUUUUUUUCUCAGUGUGAAAGGAUUGAGCGAAAUUUUUUUACAAAAAUACCGAAGCAAAACAUUUUCAGUCCUUCGCAAGCGAGCAUACACGGCACAACCUUUACUUAAUAAUUUGUACACCUACGAAUUAGAAGGUUUAGUCCAUAAUUAUUGUACGAUACUAUUUGUCUUGAUAUAUACGAUAUUUUGGAAAGCAACAUUUUUUUGUUUUUGUUUUUUGGAUUAUUGGUACGUUUUACGGUAUAAUAACUGCCAAUUGCAGAAUUGUAAUAUUCACAAAUGUGUGUCCUCGAACACUCGUGUAAAUAAAACCUCUUGUUGCCGAAUAGUAAUGGAAUUAGUGAUUAUGAUUAAUAAAAUAAAACAAAUUUAGUAAGUUAAUAAAAAGGCAGAUGCGCGUCAAGGCUCAAAAUUUUAAUAUUUAAUGUCUAUUGAAUAUCCUAAAUUGGACAAUUAAUAUGAAAAUUAAAAAGGAAAUUGUAAAAUACUAUUGUAGAAUAAUUUCGGAUUUCGAAGGAGAGAAUAGUUUAAUUUUGGUUUUUAUAGAACGGGCAGAUUUUUCAAAAAAUUGAGGAUUUAACGCGCAAGUGCCUUAAAUAGUUGUGUAAUUAAGAUUAUCCCAUUUUCAACGCAGUCACGAAAAUCGGAUUCAAUCAAAUUUCAGUAAAGUCUGACACCCGGAAUUUCAGGUACGAUUUCGUGGAUAUUUUGUGUAUGUUAUAUUACUUAUCGAGUUACUUACAAUAUAUUAUUUACCUAUGUUGUUGUAUAUAUAUAUAAAAAAAAUAUACGUAAUUGUAUUUCAU